GAUGAACGCUGGCGGCGUGCCUAACACAUGCAAGUCGAGCGAACAGACGAGGAGCUUGCUCCUUUCACGUUAGCGGCGGGCGGGUGAGUAACACGUGGAUCACCUACUUAUAAGACUGGGAUAAUUUCGGGAAACCGGAGCUAAUACCGGAUAAUAUAUUGAACCGCAUGGUUCAAUAGUGAAUGACGGCUUUGCUGUCUCUUAUAGAUGGUUCCGAGCGGCAUUAGCUAGUUGUUACGGUAACGGCUUACCAAGGCAGCGAUGCGUAGCCGAGCGGAGAGGGGGAUCGCCCACACUGGAACUGAGACACGGUCAAGACUCCUACGGGAGGCAGCAGUAGGGAAGCGUCGGCAAAGGUCGAAAGCCUGACGCAGCAACGCCGCGUGAGUGAUGAAGGUCUUCGGAGCGGAAAACCCUGUUAUGAGGGAAAAACAAAUGUGGAAGUAACUAAGCACGUCGUGACGGUACCUAAUCAGAAAGCCACGGCUAACUACGUG
rnacentral:rRNA from 1 species